rnacentral:rRNA from 1 species
CUGCGUGAAGUUGGAAUCGCUAGUAAUCGCGGAUCAGAAUGCUGCGGUGAAUACGUUCCCGGGUCUUGUACACACCGCCCGUCACACCAUGGGAGUCGGAAAUGCCCGAAGCCAGUGACCCAACCUUAAGGAGGGAGCUGUCGAAGGUGGAGCCGGUAACUGGGGUGAAGUCGUAACAAGGUAAC